GGCAGUUCUGAAGAUACUGAGUUAUUUCAAUUAUUGUUCACAGUCAGAAAUCAAACUCCUUGUUCUACUCUUUCCCCUUCUCACUACUACACAUGACUAAUCUUUA
rnacentral:Y_RNA from 1 species